UAAUUGCACACAACUCCCUAUAAAUAUAGCAAAUCGCAAAUAUAUUCCUACAAAGUUCAAUUUUCUUAUAUUAUCACUACAAAAGUCUUAAUAUUUUCAAAUAUGCCCCUACCGUUAGGAUCUGUUAGAAAAAUUUAGUUAACCAUAGGUAAAAUACUUAAUCCUAAUUAGUUAAUAAGGUAAAUUGAUAUUUUUACCUCUCUUAUAUUAUAUCUUCUUCUCUUAAUCAAAACCUAGCAAUGGGCACUCUUCUAUUUUUCCUCUUCCUCAUUCUCUUCCUCUCUCUCCUUUAUGCUAGUUUUGAACUCGUAACUAGAAUUUCUCGUCCCCAUUCAUCCACGAUGCAUGUUGCUUCUCCCAUGUUGAACGCGUGUUGCAUUCCCAUUCAAUUUCCUCUAUGAUUUUUUCUUAUUUUGUUCAAAAGAAAAGAUUUAGGAGAAAAGCAAUAAGAAAAGAGGUUGCAAUAAUAAUGGAUUGGAUUGGAUUUUAAAAAGGAAGAAGAUAGCUAUUGAAAAUUUUUUGGGAGGAUAUUGGUGCAUGAUUAUAGCUAUUUGGACUUUUAGAGGGACAUAUUUGUGAUGGUAAAAUUGACAUUUCACAUCUGCUGUUAAAAAUAAAUAGUUCUCUAAUGGUAACAAACCAGAGGGACAAAUAUGAAUAUCACCAGACUUUUGCAAGGAUAAGAGUUAAAAGUUGAACUUUGUAGGAAUAUAUUUACUAUUCGCUAUGUUUACAUAGAGUUGUAUGCAAUUAGCCCUAUUUCUUAUGUCCAAAUAUUCUCAUAUUUCAAAUAU
rnacentral:lncRNA from 1 species